GGUGACUGCGUACCUUUUGUAUAAUGGGUCAGCGACUUAUUUUCAGUGGCGAGCUUAACCGAAUAGGGGAGGCGUAGCGAAAGCGAGUCUUAAUAGGGCGUCUAGUCGCUGGGAAUAGACCCGAAACCGGGCGAUCUAUCCAUGGGCAGGUUGAAGGUUGGGUAACACUAACUGGAGGACCGAACCGACUACCGUUGAAAAGUUAGCGGAUGACCUGUGGAUCGGAGUGAAAGGCUAAUCAAGCUCGGAGAUAGCUGGUUCUCCUCGAAAGCUAUUUAGGUAGCGCCUCAUGUAUCACUGUAGGGGGUAGAGCACUGUUUCGGCUAGGGGGUCAUCCCGACUUACCAAACCGAUGCAAACUCCGAAUACCUACAAGUGCCGAGCAUGGGAGACACACGGCGGGUGCUAACGUCCGUCGUGAAAAGGGAAACAACCCAGACCGUCAGCUAAGGUCCCAAAGUUAUGGUUAAGUGGGAAACGAUGUGGGAAGGCUUAGACAGCUAGGAGGUUGGCUUAGAAGCAGCCACCCUUUAAAGAAAGCGUAAUAGCUCACUAGUCGAGUCGGCCUGCGCGGAAGAUGUAACGGGGCUCAAACCAUACACCGAAGCUACGGGUAUCACGUAAGUGAUGCGGUAGAGGAGCGUUCUGUAAGCCUGUGAAGGUGAGUUGAGAAGCUUGCUGGAGGUAUCAGAAGUGCGAAUGCUGACAUGAGUAACGACAAUGGGUGUGAAAAACACCCACGCCGAAAGACCAAGGUUUCCUGCGCAACGUUAAUCGACGCAGGGUUAGUCGGUCCCUAAGGCGAGGCUGAAAAGCGUAGUCGAUGGAAAACAGGUUAAUAUUCCUGUACUUCUGGUUAUUGCGAUGGAGGGACGGAGAAGGCUAGGCCAGCUUGGCGUUGGUUGUCCAAGUUUAAGGUGGUAGGCUGAGAUCUUAGGUAAAUCCGGGAUCUUAAGGCCGAGAGCUGAUGACGAGUUACCUUUUAGGUGACGAAGUGGUUGAUGCCAUGCUUCCAAGAAAAGCUUCUAAGCUUCAG
rnacentral:rRNA from 2 species